UUCCCCAUCGUCUCCCAGCAACUGACCUAUGAAUUAACAGAGUUGGUUGAUUUUGCUCCCCUAUUUCAGCUGCUUUAGGAAGCAG
rnacentral:pre_miRNA from 1 species